GACGAACGCUGGCGGCGUGCCUAAUACAUGCAAGUCGAGCGAUGAAGAUUGGUGCUUGCACCAAUUUGGAGAGCAGCGAACAGGUGAGUAACGCGUGGGGAAUCUGCCUUUGAGCGGGGGACAACAUUUGGAAACGAAUGCUAAUACCGCAUAACAACUUUAAACAUAAGUUUUAAGUUUGAAAGAUGCAAUUGCAUCACUCAAAGAUGAUCCCGCGUUGUAUUAGCUAGUUGGUGAGGGAAAGGCCCACCAAGGCGAUGAUACAUAGCCGACCUUAGAGGGGGGUCGGCCACCUUUGGACUGGGACCCGGCCCAAGCUCCUGCGGGAGGCCGCCGUAGGGAAUCUUCGGCAAUGGACGAAAGUCUGACCGGGCAACGCCGCGGGAGUGAAGAAGGUUGUCGGAUCGUAAAACUCUGUUGGUAGAGAAGAACGUUGGUGGGAGUGGAAUGCUCAUCAAGUGACGGUAACUACCCAGAAAGCGACGGCUAACUACGUG
rnacentral:rRNA from 1 species